CUUGGACCUCGCCUCUCAGGUAACCCACGGGACCAGCACAGUUCUCCUCAGAAAAGAAAUGAUUGGCGCUGUGAUCAAUAUCGUUGGAUCAACUGUGGUGUCCGACGAUGGCCGAGAAUUAAUCCGAAGCUGAGGAAAUUUCACCAUAAAAUCAAAACUUGUUCAAGUCCAGACAACUUCAUAAGGCACAGUUAUAGACUGCUAGAGCCUUCUUGUGAAAUGGAGGGAAUUCCAUGCACUUCCUCAUGGUGACAGAAAGAGAAAUUUGCUAAGACCACACGUACGGACAAUGCCUUCAGUAAUAGGAAAGAUUUCAGAUACAAGUGCUAAGGCCUCAAAAAUCUAUAAAGACCUUUGUAAUGACCCUGUAACCAGCUCAGCUCAUAUGCCUGCAGCUCAGCCACGAAACCUGGAGCAGGUAAGAAAGAAACAAGCUUGAAAGACAACGUUCACAAAUCAGUCGUGAUGAUUUGUACAGUGUUUUUGAAUUAACAGAACGCCUUGAAGGCUUCAUCCAUGAUAUCUCUCUCUCUCCUACAGUGAUUGUUGUUAUGGGCCUACAGGAUAUUUCGUCUGAAAUUGGGAAAAUAAUAUCACUGAAGACAGAUUUACCUAUGCUUUUUUCAUAUGACACAACUUUUCAACUUGGAGACUUCUUCCUAUCUACUUUACUAUUUCAAAAUGUGCUUUUCGCUGAAUCACCACUGAUUCCUGUAAUGUUCAAGAUGCAUGACAGCAGGCGAGAGGACAAUCACAGGAGACCCUUUCAAAGCAGUGUCCAUUGCUCAAUUCAGAAAAAGUUGUCCUAGUGUCUGACAGAGAAAAAGGAAUUGAAAAGGCUUUGGAUCAUGUUUUGCUCAAGAGCCACAGAGUGGUGUGCUGGAAUCACAUCCGCAGAGACAUCGUGGCCAGUUCAGAGGAUACCAAGGUAUACCUUGCUGACUUUUUUGAUCUUCUGAGGUCAAAUUCUGAGCAAGACUACACAUUCAAAUUUGAUUAACUCAGUACAGGUUGGAGCAAAGCAUUCUUGGACUACUUUAAGGAAAAACUGCACCAAGCAAUAAUAACUCAUGCUGGGGCCUGGAUUCUAAAGAGACUGAACAUAUAUAAAGAAAAAAGUGGAAUCACCACAAAUGUCUCUGAGAGUUUUCAUGCAGCAUUAAAAAGACUUUCACAAUGGAAAGAAAUGACGAUGGAAGCAAUGGUGUUAUCCUUAUAUGCAAUGCAAAAUUUUUACUGGAGAGAAACUUUGCGUGGACUAUGUAACACUGGAAGCUUGCAUUUGCAGCCUCAGACACUCAAGAUCGCCAGAACAUACAGUCUUUCCUUAUAUAGCUUGUGAUCCAUCACAAAUCUUGGAUCUUGUACAAAGGGGAGAACUUCCGUGGCCUAAGAAAGAUGAAAACUAUGAGAAGGCACCAUCAGUUUGUCAAAUGGUACUAGCGGGCUUUACGGUACUGAACAAUUUAAUAGCUUGGUGUAUUUGUGGUAAGGGGUAGUAAAGGGAAAGCAUUAUGUUGUCCGCCUUUUUCCAAAAGAGAGCUGCUCUUGCCCAUCAUCCAGGACUUGCUACCAUAUUAUAGCUGCCAAAAAAUCUGUCGGCAUGCCACCAGAACCAGGGAAGCCUUGCCGGUUGCAGCUCACACAGUUGAAGCAAAAUAAAAGGCAGAAGAGUAGCUCAGGAAGAAAGUUCUCCAGACUGAAGGAGAAGAUAACUGUAGUUCCAGCAUCUGAUUCAGUGCAGGCUGCUGAGGAGCUGGACUCCUUAAAAACAGAU